rnacentral:rRNA from 1 species
UAGGGAAUCUUCGGCAAUGGGGGGAACCCUGACCGAGCAACGCCGCGUGAGUGAAGAAGGUUUUCGGAUCGUAAAGCUCUGUUGUUAAGGAAGAACGAGUGUGAGAAUGGAAAGUUCAUACUGUGACGGUACUUAACCAGAAAGGGACGGCUAACUACGUGCCAGCAGCCGCGGUAAUACGUAGGUCCCGAGCGUUGUCCGGAUUUAUUGGGCGUAAAGCGAGCGCAGGCGGUUAGAUAAGUCUGAAGUUAAAGGCAGGGGCUCAACCAUUGUAGGCUUUGGAAACUGUUUAACUUGAGUGCAGAAGGGGAGAGUGGAAUUCCAUGUGUAGCGGUGAAAUGCGUAGAUAUAUGGAGGAACACCGGUGGCGAAAGCGGCUCUCUGGUCUGUAACUGACGCUGAGGCUCGAAAGCGUGGGGAGCGAACAGG